rnacentral:rRNA from 1 species
GCCAGACUCCUACGGGAGGCAGCAGUGGGGAAUAUUGCACAAUGGGGGAAACCCUGAUGCAGCGACGCCGCGUGAGCGAAGAAGUAUUUCGGUAUGUAAAGCUCUAUCAGCAGGGAAGAAAAAAAUGACGGUACCUGAGUAAGAAGCACCGGCUAAAUACGUGCCAGCAGCCGCGGUAAUACGUGUGGUGCAAGCGUUAUCCGGAUUUACUGGGUGUAAAGGGAGCGUAGGCGGCGCGUUAAGUCUGAUGUGAAAACCCGAGGCUCAACCACGGGAGUGCAUUGGAAACUGGCGGGCUGGAGUGCCGGAGAGGUAAGCGGAAUUCCUAGUGUAGCGGUGAAAUGCGUAGAUAUUAGGAGGAACACCAGUGGCGAAGGCGGCUUACUGGACGGCAACUGACGCUGAGGCUCGAAAGCGUGGGGAGCAAACAGGAUUAGAUACCCGUGUA